UCACUCUCAGUGUUUUGGGGAUGGGGAAGGUGCAGUGGGCAGCGGGGCGGAGACAGACAGACAGACAGUGAAAAUGCAGAGACGUGACUGAAGAUUCAGCCCUAAACUGGACAUCUAUAGCAACCCUCCCCCGGUGCUUGGGAAACAAUGUGGAAGAGGGCAGGAAGGUGGGGAGGGGGCUACGAGGUGCUGUCUUCUGAAUGCGACAUGGCUGUGGCAUUCAUGAGUUCACAGACGCUAUGGGUCCCUGCAUGAGAUCAUGCCAACAAGAGCGGCCGGCAUUCCAGCAGGCAGCACUCGGUGGGAUGCAAAAAGUGGGGAGACCUGAAAGUGACAGAGGGAUGUGUGUUGGUUGGGAGGUGUUUGGUGGAGAAAUUAAUAAGGGGAGAAUAUGCUCAAGAUAAAUUAUAUACAUGUAUGAAAUUGUCAAAUUCUAAAAAUAUUUUAUGCAAAAUAAACAUAUCCAUAUCAUCAGCAUACAAGUUUUCUUUUAGUAAAUGGUAAAAUUAAAUGCAAAGCAAUGAAUUAUUAAUUAAAAUCCUUUACGGUUUACU